CAAAGGACCGCUCAGUCUUUCAACGGCGGGAACCCGGAGAAGAAGGUCUGAGAGUGAAAUGAUCUGUCUGGAGGCUCCUGAGAAUUGGACCAGAAGAAUAUGCUGGCCCCCUCAGCAAUGUCUCGGACAAAUUCCUUGCUGAUGCUGAAGUAACCCUGGGUUCUGCCUGGCUGAUGAACUGAAAGCCAGGAAGAAAGGUCAAUGGCAGCUUCCUUGGGACUGUGGGUCGAGAGAUUGUUUUUGUCCUGAACUUGUCGAAGGAGCAAUAGGACUACAGACGAAAGCAAUCGUUUCUGAGAUCGUAUGGGACCUCUUCGAGCUUGCAAGAUCUUCGAACGAGAUUUCAAGAUCUAUGGCUCGUCUUAGCAACUUCAGCCCACGAACAAAGCGGUCCAAUGUUGCCAGAUGGACCAUCAGCUACUUGUUGAAAUUUUAAAUUGGUUUUGAAGCUCCGCAUACAGUUAAGAACCUGCGUAUGAGCCGGUUUGAAAUAAAAGUCAAAUCGAAGUAA